CCUACGGGUGGCAGCAGUCGAGAAUCAUUCACAAUGGGGGAAACCCUGAUGGUGCGACGCCGCGUGGGGGAAUGAAGGUCUUCGGAUUGUAAACCCCUGUCAUGUGGGAGCAAAUUAAAAAGAUAGUACCACAUGAGGAAGAGACGGCUAACUCUGUGCCAGUAGCCGCGGUAAUACAGAGGUCUCAAGCGUUGUUCGGAAUCACUGGGCGUAAAGCGUGCGUAGGCUGUUUCGUAAGUCGUGUGUGAAAGGCGCGGGCUCAACCCGCGGACGGCACAUGAUACUGCGAGACUAGAGUAAUGGAGGGGGAACCGGAAUUCUCGGUGUAGCAGUGAAAUGCGUAGAUAUCGAGAGGAACACUCGUGGCGAAGGCGGGUUACUGGACAUUAACUGACGCUGAGGCACGAAGGCCAGGGGAGCGAAAGGGAUUAGAUACCCUUGUAGUC
rnacentral:rRNA from 1 species